AUCCAUCUGACGAGUCCCAAAUGGGAUGAAACAUGCGUCCUGGAU
rnacentral:hammerhead_ribozyme from 1 species